CAGUCACCAGGUUGUACAAUAGAUCUCUUGAACUUAUUCCUCCUAGCUACCUGAAAUUUUAUAUCCUUUGACCAACAUUGCCCCACUCCCACCACCUGGCAACCUCAGCCUCUGGUAACCAACAUUUCACUCUAUUUCUAUGAGACAACUUUUUUAGGUUCCAUAUAUGAGUGGGAUUAUGUAGUAUUUGUCCUCUGUGCCUGACUUAUUUCACUUAAUAUAAUGUCCUCCGGUUCAACCUUGUUGUCCCAAUUGACAGGAUUUUCUUCUCUU
rnacentral:lncRNA from 10 species